UACGUAGGGUGCGAGCGUUGUCCGGAAUUAUUGGGCGUAAAGGGCUCGUAGGCGGUCUGUUGCGUCGGGAGUGAAAACUCAGGGCUUAACCCUGAGCCUGCUUCCGAUACGGGCAGACUAGAGGUAUGCAGGGGAGAACGGAAUUCCUGGUGUAGCGGUGAAAUGCGCAGAUAUCAGGAGGAACACCGGUGGCGAAGGCGGUUCUCUGGGCAUUACCUGGCGCUGAGGAGCGAAAGUGUGGGGAGCGAACAGG
rnacentral:rRNA from 1 species